rnacentral:rRNA from 1 species
GACGAACGCUGGCGGCAGGCUUAAUACAUGCAAGUCGAGGGGUAACAGAGGGCUUCGGCCCUGCUGACGACCGGCGCACGGGUGCGUAACGCGUAUGCAAUCUACCCUGUAGAGUGGGAUAGCCCAGAGAAAUUUGGAUUAAUACCACAUGAGUUCUAGACCUCGCAUGAGAUUUAGAAGAAAGUUCAGGCGCUAUAGGAUGAGCAUGCGUGCCAUUAGGUAGUUGGUGAGGUAAUGGCUCACCAAGCCAUCGAUGGCUAGCUGGUCUGAGAGGAUGAUCAGCCACACGGGCACUGAGACACGGGCCCGACUCCUACGGGAGGCAGCAGUAGGGAAUAUUGGUCAAUGGGGGCAACCCUGAACCAGCCAUGCCGCGUGAAGGAAGAAGGUUCUCUGAAUUGUAAACUUCUUUUAUUAGGGGCUAACCAUGGGCUAUACGCCCAUCUGAAGGUACCUAAAGAAUAAGCACCGGCUAACUACG